UACGUAGGUGGCAAGCGUUAUCCGGAAUUAUUGGGCGUAAAGAGCGCGCAGGUGGUUAAUUAAGUCUGAUGUGAAAGCCCACGGCUUAACCGUGGAGGGUCAUUGGAAACUGGUUGACUUGAGUGCAGAAGAGGAGAGUGGAAUUCCUAGUGUAGCGGUGAAAUGCGUAGAUAUUAGGAGGAACACCAGUUGCGAAGGCGGCUCUCUGGACUGUAACUGACACUGAGGCACGAAAGCGUGGGGAGCAAACAGG
rnacentral:rRNA from 1 species